UUUUUAUUACUCUCCACAUAAGCAAAUUUCUUCUCAUUCGGAAUAGUGGGAGUAUCAUAAGAGACUCGAAUACUAUAAAUUGUUUCCACAUUAAAUAAGUAAUGUUCAGAAAAAAGGGUAAUCAUAAUCAUGACAAGUUUUAUAAAUAUAAUCAUCACUACUUUUUAUAGCAUAAGUGUCAUCACAAUAAUCUCUACUAUUAAAGGGGGAUCGAACGUCGUGAUGGUUCGACAUCGUUCGAUCCCCCACCCCUCGUACGACAACCAUCAUGCGAUGGGCCACGCGUGUAGUAUCCCAAAAAUCAAAGGCCAACUCAGCCCACGUACAAGAUCCACAGCCAAAAAAAACAAUUCGGCUCAACCCACGAACGAAGUCCUCAACCCACGAACGAGGUUCAUCGAUCAACAAACCGGCCAACAAAAAAAACAGUUCAGCUCAACCCACGAACGAGGUCCAUCGGCCAAAAAUCAAACCACCUGCGACCUCCAUCGACCCACGAACGCACAUCCCCGGGGAGAGAAAUGCCAGUUCUUCCUCGCGUACGAGCUCCAUCGACCCACGGACGCACUACGCCAAGGAGAGAAUCGCCGGUUCACUCGCCGUCCGACCACAUCGUUCUCAUGCGAGCUGUGCGAGCGCAGCCUCUGCUGCCAUCAACCUCUGAUCUCCUCGCAUGCUGAACCGCAACCUCGACGCCCCUGAACCAGAACCUGCACUCGACGGCUGUUGCUGCGUCUAUCUCCUGAUGUCGCCGCUACAUCCUCCUGCCAUCAUCUUCACAGUUCUUCACCUACCGUCUUCUGCCUCUCCGAUGGCAAAAGGACUGAGAUCCACCUUUGUUAUGUUCAACGGUGCCCACCAUGCCCUAGGUUUGUCAUCCUCAAUUGUUUCAGCAAAGUUUUUUUACAUCAGAAAGAUACUAAACUCCUGUUCAGAACUUCAUGAUGCGACCUCAAAAAUAUAGUAGUACUCAGAUUGCAUCUUUAAGUUCUACUCCAAGUACAUUGAACAAAGCAUGCAGGAUUUUAAGCUAUGUACCAGCUACCAAAUUGUGAAGGUGCUUCAUUAGGCUCAUCAACUUCCGGGAAUUAAAUACAUGAAACAAAUGUAUAAUGUGUGCUAAUGUGGACGGGUGUGACAUGUCAUCUCAAUCUUGUCUUUGCAGCAAGGCCACUCUAUGCAAAUGAAUGAAAGCAAAUGUAACAAAGUUAAAAAAUCUAAGAAUUGAUGACGUGAGAUUGACAUGCUUUUCACCCAAUUUCAUAUUAUAGACAUCUAUUCAGUUCCCAGACUUAAGUUCAUAUUGAAGACCCCUGUUCCAUAAAGAAUAUUGCUAAAGUCCUCUUAAUUACAGUACAAUACAGUUACAAAUAUCAUAUCAUUUUUUUCAUGCAAAAAAUGCAGGUUUAGUUAAGAACUUAAAGCUUUUAUAGAACACAAAGAUGUCACAGGACAGAAGGCAUCUCUAUGACAAAGGGAAAAGAGGUAUGUAUAUGUCAAUCACAUGUAUGCACAUAAGGUAUUCAAUAAGCUUUCAUAACUUACCCUUCACUAAUCUUAUCAGUUGUUGAAUAUGAGAGGACACCGAGAUCACAACCCAGCGAUUGUCGGGGUGUACCUACCAGACCCGAUUUUCUCUCACGGUCAGCUCUACGUUGCAUUGUCUAGAGCCACCGCGAAGAGGAACAUUAAGAUUCUCGCCAUCAAGGACAACGGCAAGGGUAAAGGCAAGGGUAAGGGCAAGGGCAAGGAACAAAGCAAGAUUUCAAAGAAGCGAAAAAGAUUUGAACCCUUAUUAACGACCAUGAAGAACAUAGUCUACAAGGAAGUCCUUAGCACAUGAAGUCGCCGGAUCAAAUUAUAACAACUCAAGGUAAAGUAUGUUCAAUUCUGCAUUACAGCACAUAACUAUUGUAGAUCUUAAUGCACACUAACCUGAGUUUGUGAGCAUAAUCAGUCUUCAGAAACCAUGAAUAUUCCUUUCGCGACAUCUCCCCGUUCUAUACUUGGUAGAAUAUGCACCUGUUUAAGCUGGAAAUAACAAGAGACAGUGUGAAAUUGCAAACAGAUUAAGGAUGAAGAUGCUUGGACAGUGACUUGCUACAGAAGAACAAAAAUACUAAGGUGUCGUUUCUUUCUAAGGCAUACGCUUUUUAAUAUGGUAAAAACCUGAGGCAUCUAAUAUCAUAACAAUUAAAAAACCGACUUAAACUUCAGUUCCAUAGAAUCUCUCGUUGGAAAUACAUGGAUAAGGAACUAUGUAUCUGAUAAUUUAUGAAGAACCCAAAUUCGAGCUGAGUUUGCCAUCAGUGAGCUCCUCAUGUCUCUACUAUUAAAGGAUGAGUCUUUCAAGACAAUAGAAACCUCGAUAUGAACAAAAGGAACAUAAUUUGUUCAUCUGCUCUUUUUCUGUAGCUUUGUGAUUAGAUUUAGCACGCAUGUGUCCUUAAAUUCAGGCCUCAAAAUUCGUUGCAGAUGGUGAUUCCAAAGUGCCAAGUACAGGAUUAGAAACAUCAACCCUUAAGCUAUUCAGAAAGAGCAUUGUGGUGACUGGAGAAUGAGUCAUAUUAGACCCUGAAUACAAACAUCGCUAACCUGCAAAAUGGCAAGGACCUCGGAAUGGAAGCUUUGGCCAAUACCACAAUAGCGCGUUAUGCUGAGCUCAUUUGCAAAAAGAUGCAGACCAAGCUUUGCGUUCGUUUUUUACAAUUGGUACAUCAGUAUGAAUGUGACCAUUGGACAGUGCUGACUUUUAUGUCAGGUUACCUUGCAUAAAUCUUUAUGAUUCCCCCAUUGUGUUUUGCUUUGUUGAAAUGCAUUGUGUGUGUGUACAAUUAGAAUUUGCUCAGGAUUGGAAGGUCAACUCUCCAGGAAGAGGAAGCUAAGCCUCCUUGACCAGACUUUUUUUUUCUUUUUUUGAAGUUUCAAGCCAUGCCUUUUUCAAUAGGGACAGCUAAAAUCGUUUAUAGAAAAACUAUUAAGACCCACUUUUCCUGUUGUACUAAAACGAAGUUUUAGUUAUUUCUGCCCCUAAAAAAACUAUUUUUUGGUACGCUAACUCAUUUCAGGUGGUUAGACCUUUAAACGAGUUUAUGGGAAACAGAACUGGCAAAAACUCCGUAUCCAGACAACCCAAGAAAGGUUUUAUCCUCAUCUCACAGAAUAAACAACUUAAUCACAACCGUAUACCAAUUACUACUCAUCUAGCUAUCCUUCAAACUGUGUAUAUAUAAGAUAGAUUCAAUCUACCUCCAGAUUUUUGUUUACCUCUAAGAUCGAAUUUCACCGGCGGUGCCAAUCCAACAGAGCUACCAAUGCAGGACGCGGAGGGAGAGACGAGAGCCGACCGUGACAAGGUAAGAUCCGUGGGCACCCUGAUCCUGACGCAUAGGGAGGGGAGCAGAGCUCGGUGGCGAAGAGAAGCCGUCGGCAUCGUGCUGCACCACGGAAUCUACUCCUCAUCGAUCUCCGCCCAUCCGGCCGAGCACAGUUUGCGGCAGGGUCUCCAAAAUGAGGAGCCCGAUCCUGCCGGUGGAUGCAGAUCGAGCCCACCUCGCGCUGCACGGCGCGCGCCAGUCGCCGCGCGUUACCACCUGAUGAUUCGGACCGGCGUGGCUUCAUCGCGGCGGGGGCGCGGGGCAGGGAGCGCCGCGCGGUGGAUGCCCCCGCCCAGACUGCGUGCGCGUCUGCCUGCCCCCGAGAUCUCGCCGGACAGCUGGGAGUGAUGGGGGCGCGGUGUGGGAGGCUCGCGACGGCGCAGGUAGGCUGCAGGGACGGUUCGGAGGCGUGGGGUGGGAGGUUGGGCCGGGAUGGGUGCCGUGCGCCAUGAUGCGCCGGCGGCUGCACAGGGAGCAGGGUGGGUCAUGGGUGGAAUGGGAAAGGGGUCAGCAGCGAGGAGAAAGAGACUGACAGUGCU
rnacentral:lncRNA from 1 species